AUUUCGAAGUUUAAAAAUAAUUAUUCUCCAAACUGUAGUUGAGCUAGGUAUACCUAGCUCAACUACAGGUAUACCUAGCUCAACUACAGUUUGGAGAAUAACUAUUUUUAAACUUCUAAAU